UCACUAUUCUUAACAGCGGUUCCCACAGCAGCUCUACUUGUUCCGGCCUUAUUUCAAACUUGUUUUACAGACAAAAACAACUCAGAGAGGAUAAGUAGUUUCUCCAAGGUCACAGAAUUAGUAAGUGGCAGAGACAAGAUCUGAACCCUGGUCUGCCCAACUCCAAACUCUGACUCCUUGAACUCCCCUGGGGAGAGGGAGUGGUGUUGGCCUCAGCAUUGCUACCAGGGACUCGCCCAACUGCCCAGCCCCCCAACCCAGGGACGGUGCUAUUACUCUUGCUCCUACCCUAAUUCAAAGGGACACAGUCGGGGGGAGUCUGCAACUUGAGUGCAUCAAACCCAAGACUGCUCCCAUUUUACAGGUGCUGAGAGUGAAUCCUUAGGGUCUUUCCAUUCACUGGAGGAGCCUGGCAGAUCCCAGCCUUCAUUUGAAAACUCCCUAGAGCUGGCCCACCUCUCAACCCAACUACCAUCCGCCGGCAUGGACUGAUAACUUCCCACCUUCUAACUUACUGAUCAGCUGUGAAGAAGAGACAAACAGAGACACUAGGGGUGUGCAGAGACCAAAGAUCUUGCAAGGACACAGCACAAAGGUGGUCAUCUGUGAGUCUAGGAGGGAGGCUUCAGAAGAAACCAGACCUCCUAACACCCUGAUUUUGCACUUCUGGCCUCCAGAAUUGUGAGCAAACAAAUUUUAUGGUUUAAGUUGUCCA